UCCGGGAUCGUCUAAUGGUAGGACGCCUGACUCUGGAUCAGGUAAUCUUGGUUCGAAUCCAAGUCCCGGAGCCA
rnacentral:tRNA from 5 species